UGCGGAAGGAUCAUUU
rnacentral:rRNA from 2 species